UCAGAGUCGCAAAUUGCGUCCUGCAGCUAUUGGAUGACUUUGAGGGAAAGUCAAGGAAGCAGCAUGGAAAUGCCACCUAAGUCCUCUGAGUCCCGACCCUGCAAAAAUGCCGCCAUCAAAUGGCUUAAAGAUGAUGCUCAGCUUGUCAAGGUUAGUCACUGAAAUGCAGUAACUGAAGAGGACAGAGGUGGAAGAGGGGGCAGAAAGUCGAGGAAAGCUGUUCUGAGCAGGGGCCGUCACAGCUCAGAGUGUAACCUGAGUCAGAGGAGGCUUCACGUGUUUCACUCGAAGCAUCGCAUAGCAUCCCAAGAGUCACAAGCCUGACUGGGGACGCGCGAGGGAAGAUUGAUACGGGCGUGGCCUCUCUUCUCCCUCAGCUGUAUGUAAAUACUCUGUACCGAGGCUGAGCAGGAAGCUCAUAGAUGAUUCUCCUUUUGGGUGCUUUUCAGCUGUGACGUCACAGUAACAUUUGACUAAACCCCUGCUAACUUCCCCUUCUGGAACCCGUGCAAUUCACAUGACCCUGUUCUCAACCUGUCCAUCUCAGCCUCCUGUCCCAAGACCUGCAGCCUGGUCCCCUCCUCUGAGAACCACCACCACCUCCUCCCCUUUUUUUCUCCUUCUCCCCCAGAAAAUAGUCUCUGAACUCUAAGAAUGACAGCUGGAGAGAUAGCUCAUCCAGUUAAGGGCACUGGUUGCUCUUCCAAAGGACCAAGGUUUGGUUCCUAGCUCCCAUAUGGCAACUUAUAACUAUCUGUCACUCUGGUCCCAGAAGGGCUGACAGCCUUCUGCAGCACACACAUAUAUGCAGACCAAACACCCAUGCAUAUAAAGUCAACAAAAUUUAAAAAGUAAAAUAAAAUGGUCUGCCCGAUUACAUGUGAUAUCCUGAGACACACACACACACACACACACACACACAUAUAUACAUACAUAUGAAUAUACAUAUAGGUAUGUAUGUAUAUAUGUGUGUGUGUGUGUGUUUGGUUUCCAUUCCACUCUCUGGCAUACAAUUCUUAGAAACCAGUUAUAAUUGUCUGAUUAAUAAGGGUGCUCGAUAAUCUUUUGUUCUGAAAUAUGACCCACAGAGCUACUAAUUCUUUGGAAUUUCCUGAGGGAUGGACAUGUCCUUGGUUCCAGUGAAGUGACUCUUGGCGAGUUCCUGGUUUUGACCUUGUCACCAGAAUGACCAGACUGUGGGCAGAGAGAGUCUGACACUUUCAGCCCCAAUUCCUGUCCUCCACAGAAGGGAGAAGGGCUGGAAGCUGAACUGAUCGCUGAUGAAGUCUCUGUGAAAAUUCUCUGAGCUAGAGCUUCAAGCAGCUGGGCUGCAGACCAUCUGAAGGGUCCUAGAGGGUAGUGGACCCAAGGGGAAGCACGGAAGCCCCCUCCAGCUCCCACCUGACCAUACUUUGCCCUGUGUACUCUUUCUCUAUCAGUGGUGAUGGCCUUUACAAUAAACUGAUUCUCACAGGUAAA